CAGAGAAUAAUAAGUUACCAACAAUGCGCAGUUACAACGAACGUGAAAACGGAAAAGCGAUACUUGCUCCUCUUAAAAGUGCUUAUCUAACGUGUUUUUCAAUCUCUUCCUCGAGCAAAUCCAAUCAGUGGCAGAGCAUGGUGAUUAAUGGAACAAGCGAAUGAGAAUGAAAUUAAGAGAAACGAAAGAUACAUGAAGAUGAUGCCGACGCAGAUUCAUGAUGGAAUUCGAUAACUCCACUACCUGGUGCUUGGCCCCAGAAGCCUGGUUCUGCUACUUGCCCUUUCUUUGGAGUCGAGGUCUCCUGUCAUAGUGGAUGAGAAAGGUGUUGCGAUAGAAGGAGAGUCUAGUGGUUACUUGUGUGUUAAGAGAUCAUGGCCAGGGGCAUUCAGAACUUUGUAUGGCGAUCAUGAACGAUAUGAAACAACAUAUUUCAAGCCCUUUGCUGGCUACUAUUUCAGUGGUGAUGGCUGCAACAGGGAUAAAGAUGGAUACUAUUGGCUUACUGGGAGAGUUGAUGAUGUCAUUAAUGUCAGUGGCCAUCGUAUUGGGACAGCUGAAGUAGAAUCAGCUCUAGUUUCACAUCCAAAAUGUGCUGAAGCAGCCGUUGUAGGCGUGGAGCACGAGGUUAAAGGACAGAGUAUAUAUGCUUUUGUUAGAUACAUAUUUACAAAUCAUUAACAAAGCAUUUUUCAACAAACAAACCCUUGAGAAUCUUAGACUCUGUAAACGUCUCUACCACCUAAUCACACCAUUAUUAUACCAUUGCGACGGCAAAAAAAACCUUGAGUUGAAUAUGAUUUAUUGACUUUCCAAUGUAUUAUUUGUAUUUGUUUAGCAGUUAAAUAGGUGAAUACUUUAAAAUUAUUUAAAAACAAUUAUUGACAGAACUUAUUCAACUUCUUAACAAACUUAAAAACUUGUUUAUUACGACAUAACUUUAUAAUUUAGUUAUA